AGCGUAGGCGGCUUGAUAAGUCAAAGGUGAAAUCCCUCGGCUCAACUGAGGAACUGCCUUUGAAACUGUCUGGCUUGAGGCCGGGAGGGGGUAGCGGAAUUCCCAGUGUAGCGGUGAAAUGCGUAGAUACUGGGAGGAACACCGGUGGCGAAGGCGGCUACCUGGACCGGUUCUGACGCUGAUGCGCGAAAGCGUGGGUAGCAAACA
rnacentral:rRNA from 1 species